GGUGAAGAGAAUGAAAAGGGAAUCAGGUGUAAAUCCUGAACAGUCCCGCUGCUGUGAAGCUUUGUUAUGUUCUGAAAAACACUUUUGCCACUGCUGUCGUUUAUGAUGUCGGGAAGGCUUCAGAAUAGAAGCGAGUCAGAAUACCUGCCAAUCUUUUU
rnacentral:ncRNA from 1 species